UACGAGGGGUGCAAGCGUUGCUCGGAAUUAUUGGGCGUAAAGGGCAGGUAGGUGGUCUCAUUUGUCAGGGGUGAAAGCCUUGGGCUUAACCCAAGAAGUGCCUUUGAAACGGUGAGACUGGAGUCUUGGAGAGGGUCGUGGAAUUCCCAGUGUAGCGGUGAAUGCGUAGAGAUUGGGAGGAACACCAGCGGCGAAGGCGGCGACCUGGACAAGCACUGACACUCAACUGCGAAAGCGUGGGUAGCAAACAGG
rnacentral:rRNA from 1 species